UGGACCAAAUUAACUCAAACUCGGGUAUUGAAGUUGUUUGUUAUAGAUGGAUUUAAGUGAUAAAAGUUGGGUUGAAUACGGAUUUCAUAAUGUUGUAGCUGGGAGGUGUGUGCUUUAACUUUGAAAAUCCUUCCAGACCCGCCAAAUUCAGGCCAAUGAGUUGGAUAUUUUGUAUAUGCAUGGCGUUAGUAUUAUGGAAGUACUUUUUAGGGGUUUUAACUUUCUACCUACACCCCACACAUAACUCUCUAUCUCUCU